AAGCACACAGAUCCCUUCUGAAAGACUUUCCAGGCUCUAAUUUGCUACUGGUUUUAACUUUCUAGUAUUUUAUGGAUUCCAGAAUUUAAUUAGACUUGUAUAUGGUAGAAUUAGUCUACCACUUACCAUUAGUCUGAGAGCUUUUCCAGAAGCUGGAAAGUUCUAUUCCAGAGUCUUAAUACAUGCAAGAUUUUGGUCUCAGUCUCGCUUCCUGCUUAUUACAAGAAAAAUAACAUUUCAUUUUUUCUUAUCAGUACAAUUCACUAUUUUACCUAUUGUGUCUCUUAUAUUCUUUGACGUGACUUUCUCCUGUAACUAUUCUUACUCUAAACUUUUUGUUAUUGAGCACAAUGCUUUAUUCAGUCCACUCUCUUUCCAUGUUAUUUCAUUGUCUGGUUGUUUUGUGAGGAAUGGUAAAUGUGAAAAACUGUUCAUUAAAAUAAUCUUUUCAGUUCCUACAUGCUUCACUUCUACAGAUACACACACACACACACACAUAAAUACAGAGACAUGCAUUGUACUUGCACUUAUCAAGAUAAAAAACCCCAAAACUUUCAUAAAUCUGCUCUAUCCCUACAUAGAAAUGUUAAGGUGUCUUUUCUUAAUGAAAACUAAGGGUAGGGAAGAGAAGUGAGAAAGGGAACAAAAAGGGACUUUUUACAAAUUUCAAUAUUUUCCUAUUGAGCAAAAAACAAAAAGGGUUUCAGACAGUGAAAGACUCGAACAAGCAGCCAAAAUUACUGAUGUCACACUGCUUUUCCUUGUUGAAACUAAAGUAUCGAUCUUUAACCUUUCAUUUCACAAAUAACUGACUUAACUGUAACCUUUUGAACUGUUCUGGAAAUGGUUGUCUACCAAUUUAAUCCAGUAAAAUAAUUUGAAUAGCUAACUAGCUAACAGAAUGGAACCAAGCCUGUAAGUGGGGUUAGGAUACUUGCCUGUUGCACAGGAUGACUGGAAGCUUCUGAUUAUGAUUCCAUCUUUGCCUUUUUCUCCAGUUUAUUGAUUAUUGUGUACUUGGGAAAAACAUGCUGAGGUCUUUAAAGCACAUGUGCUGAGGUGUUCCUCUGACUUACCCUUUUUAAAAGUCCAUUUCUAGUGACAUUUUAUGGAAAGCAAGCUCCUAAGGCUAAAUUACUAUCUCUGUUGCUGUUUCUUAACAUCAUAUUCAUUUUAAAUCUAAAUAAGCGUAUCUGAGUAUUUGAUGAAAUUAUCAUUGAAACGGCAUGUUCCUUAAACCAAAUAAAUCUGCAUUUUCAGAUAAAAAUAUUCCAUUGGAAAAACCCCAAAUCACUUUUAUUGUCAAUACAUCCUGUUUUCCUGUUUUAUUUUAGAACACCUAAAAAUCCAACACAUUGCACUCUGUAUUUUGCACACUCAAGAGCUAUCCCUGUGUUCAUGAGCCAAUAUUUUCAUGUCUUUUUAUCUGUAGUAUAGGCAUUUUAAUAACUAUAAUAUAGAAUAACCUUCAAGUAUAGCAUCCAGAUUGAACAUACUGUGGUAUAAUACUGCAAGAAAUGUCAUUGCAGCAAUGGUCCUAAUACAAUUCGGAUGUAAUGCAUUGAUUGAAAAAACUGAAUAUGUGUUCAUGGAAGUGAUUGUUGAUGACUCGAACUCAUAUCAUCACCAGGCAGAUGCUGAGUUAUGUGGAAGCUAGACAGUUGCAUGAAGGUAUGAGCUGUCUGUGGCAUAGCACCUCGCCUAUGUAGGAUUUUCUCAACAUUCAGUUACACUGGACAGUAGGGGUGAUACAUUAGGAUCGGGUGAUGGCAGAAAUGCCUCUUUCAGUAAGAGCUAGUUUCCCAUUUUUCAAUCUUUGGACUGUUAUCUCACUUAACACAAAAUUCCACUGGUUUGCAGAAGUUAGGUGAUACUUGACAUGAAUAAACUGGUAAGAUUGUGUCUGCUAUGAAUUUUGAAAAAAAAAUCUACAGUCAUCCAUUUACUUUGGAAUAAAUCUGAGUCCUUAUGGUCAUAUGCAGAAUUAAUACAUAAUUGGUUAGAAGCAUCCUUCUUUAGCUUAUCAUCAAGCCAUCUAUCAUGUAAACUCAACUGGAUAUGGGGAGAUGGACAGAGGUUCUCCCCAUCCCUGCUGCUGCCUUUAUGGAGAGUCCCUGUAGAACAAGAUCCCUGGGGUGCUCCAUUAGCUUAAAACAUACUGCAUAGCUCUUUUUUUUUUCCUGUUCCUGUUUUUCUUUUGUUUUCCAGCCAAAAAUCUUCAGAAGCUUUUAAACAACAAUGAGGCCAGAAGAGAUUGUUGUCUAAAUUUAAAGAGAAUAAAAGUCAACAGAGAGCCUCCUGCACACAUGAUUUAUUUCAUUCUCUAUUUCUUGCAUUAAGCCAAUUACUUAAUGGACAGAAAGUUAUUUUACAAUCCUUCAGAGUGUGAGGCAGAUUACAGAAAAAUUUCCCUAAGCAAUGGAAAACAAUGUAUAAAUAAUAAGAACCUAAUCAUUUCCUUUAAUGAAAAACUGCUCACAAGGGAGAAAAGAUACGCAUGCAUAUGCACUAAAAUUAAGUCAUCCUACUUACAUGCUCAUGUCCCCAUCAAGCAUGCUCUUCAAGCACCAUUCUGAAGCUCAAAUGCUGCUAUGCCUCGUGACCCAAGACAUAUGUAGGGAGAAGACAGUGCUGUACUCGUGUCAGCUCAUUUUGGCAGCUCUCCUGACUACAGAAAACAGGAGGUAGCUUUAUCAUUCUAUUUCUGUUUUGACAAAUUCCACAGAAGCCAGAUAUUUCUUCCCUCACCAAUCCCCGCCAAAAAUACCCCCAAAAAACCAACCAACCAACCAACCAAAAAAAAAAAAACAAACCAAAAACACAAAAAGAAAAACCCACUAAAAAAACCCUCCAAAAAAAAAAA
rnacentral:lncRNA from 1 species